rnacentral:piRNA from 1 species
UGGAAUUUUGAUGGCUCUAGUAC